rnacentral:lncRNA from 1 species
CAAGAGACAUUUGGGAAACAGUACAAGCAGACUAUAGGACUGGAUUUCUUUUUGAGAAGGAUUACCUUACCAGGAAAUUUGAAUGUUACUCUUCAAGUUUGGGAUAUAGGAGGGCAGACAAUAGGUGGCAAGAUGUUGGAUAAAUACAUCUAUGGAGCACAGACAGGGUGUCAAUGUGAAACUCUGACUGAACCAAGCUGGCCUAAGACUCAGAGGUCUUCCUGCUUCUGCCG